rnacentral:misc_RNA from 1 species
UUUCCGUAGGUGAACCUGCGGAAGGAUCAUUAUCGUAGGGCUUCGGCCCUGUCGAGAUAGAACCCUUGCCUUUUUGAGUACCUUUCGUUUCCUCGGCAGGCUCGCCUGCCAAUGGGGACCACAAAAAACACUUUGCAGUACCUGUAAUAGUCUGAACAAACAAACAAAAAUUAAAACUUUCAACAACGGAUCUCUUGGUUCUG